UACGUAGGGGGCGAGCGUUGUCCGGAUUCAUUGGGCGUAAAGAGCUCGUAGGCGGCUUGGCAAGUCGGGUGUGAAAACUUCAGGCUCAACCUGGAGAUGCCACUCGAUACUGCUAUGGCUAGAGUCCGGUAGGGGACCACGGAAUUCCUGGUGUAGCGGUGAAAUGCGCAGAUAUCAGGAGGAACACCGGUGGCGAAGGCGGUGGUCUGGGCCGGCACUGACGCUGGAGGAGCGAAGCGUGGGAGCGAACAGG
rnacentral:rRNA from 1 species